CCUACGGGAGGCAGCAGUGGGGAAUAUUGCACAAUGGGGGAAACCCUGAUGCAGCGACGCCGCGUGAGUGAAGAAGUAUUUCGGUAUGUAAAGCCCUAUCAGCCGGGGAGCAGAAGUGACGAUACCUGAGUAAGAGGCACCAGCUAAAUACGUGCCAGCAGCCGCCGUCAUACGUAGGGUGCAGGCGUUAUCCGGAUUUACUGGGUGUAAAGGGAGCGCAGGGGGGACGGGCAGCGUAAUGGGAAAGCCCGGGUGCCAACCGCAGGACUGCCUUUGAAACUAGCGGGCUGGAGUGGCGGAGAGGUAGGCGGAAUGCGUGGUGUAGCGGUGAAAUGCAUAGAUAUUAGGAGGAACACCGGUGGCGAAGGCAGCAUACUGG
rnacentral:rRNA from 1 species